GAUCCUGGCUCAGGACGAACGCUGGCGGCGUGCUUAACACAUGCAAGUCGAACGCUGAAGCCCAGCUUGCUGGGUGGAUGAGUGGCGAACGGGUGAGUAACACGUGAGUAACCUGCCCCCUUCUUUGGGAUAACGCCCGGAAACGGGUGCUAAUACUGGAUAUUCACUGGCCUUCGCAUGGGGGUUGGGUGGAAAGGUUUUUUCGUUGGUGGGGGAGUGGGCUCGCGGCCUAUCAGCUUGUUGGUGGGGUGAUGG
rnacentral:rRNA from 1 species